rnacentral:tRNA from 1 species
UGGCUCAGCCGGUAAAAGCGUCUGUCUGCAAUGCGGGAGACCCAGGUUCGAUCCCUGG